rnacentral:rRNA from 1 species
GAUGAACGCUAGCUACAGGCUUAACACAUGCAAGUCGAGGGGAAACGACAUCGAAAGCUUGCUUUUGAUGGGCGUCGACCGGCGCACGGGUGAGUAACGCGUAUCCAACCUGCCCAUCACUUGGGGAUAACCUUGCGAAAGUAAGACUAAUACCCAAUGAUAUCUCUAGAAGACAUCUGAAAGAGAUUAAAGAUUUAUCGGUGAUGGAUGGGGAUGCGUCUGAUUAGCUUGUUGGCGGGGUAACGGCCCACCAAGGCAACGAUCAGUAGGGGUUCUGAGAGGAAGGUCCCCCACAUUGGAACUGAGACACGGUCCAAACUCCUACGGGAGGCAGCAGUGAGGAAUAUUGGGCAAUGGGCGAGAGCCUGAACCAGCCAAGUAGCGUGCAGGAAGACGGCGCUAUGGGUUGUAAACUGCUUUUAUAAGGGAAUAGAGUGAGAGUCGUGACUCUUUUUGUAUGUACCUGAUGAAUAAGGACCGGCUAAUUCCGUG